GACGAACGCUGGCGGCGUGCUUAACACAUGCAAGUCGAACGAGUGGCGAACGGGUGAGUAAUACGUGGGUAACCUGCCCUCUUUUUGGGAUAAGCCUUGGAAACGGGGACUAAUACCGACUAUAGGGGGAUGGGCUCGCGGCCUAUCAGCUUGUUGGUGGGGGGAUGGCCUACCAAGGCGGUGACGGGUAGCCGGCCUGGGAGGGUGACCGGCCACAGUGGGACUAGGUUAGGGCCCAGACGCCGAGGGGAGGGAGCAGGGGGGGAUAUUGCACAAUGGGCGGAAGCCUGAUCCAGCCAUGCCGGGUGUCUGAAGAAGGUCUUCGGGUUGUAAAGGACUUUUGUUAGGGAAGCGGUACCUAAAGAAUAAGCACCGGCUAACUACGUGCCAGCAGCCGCGGUAAUAC
rnacentral:rRNA from 1 species